UCCGAGACUGCUUGAUCGGCGCUCAUACCGGGGGCUAAGGUAGCAUAAUCAUUUGCUUUCUAAUUAAAAGCUAGAAUGAAAGGUUUAACGUUUUAAUUUCUUUUUUAUUUAUAUCUUAUUAAAAUUUUAUUAAAUAUAAAAAUAUAUUUAUAUAUUAAAUAGACGACAAGACCCUGUUGAACUUAACUUUAGUUUAGCUGGGGCAGCUUAUUAAUUAUAAUUUUAAUUAAAUUUUAUUUAAUGAAUUAUCCAAUAUAUUUGAUUAAUUUAUCAAGUUACCACAGGGAUAACAGCGUAAUAUUAAUUUAAAGUUCAUAUUAAAAUUAAUGUUUGCGACCUCGAUGUUGAAUUAUAAUUCUAUAUUAACGCAAUAGUUAUAAAAGUAGGUCUGUUCGACCUUUAAUAUUUUACAUGAUCUGAGUUCAAAACCGGAGA
rnacentral:rRNA from 1 species